UACAGAGGUCUCAAGCGUUGUUCGGAUUCAUUGGGCGUAAAGGGUGUGUAGGCGGCGCGGUAAGUCGGGUGUGAAAUCUCGGAGCUUAACUCCGAAACUGCAUUCGAUACUGCCGUGCUUGAGGACUGGAGAGGAGACUGGAAUUUACGGUGUAGCGGUGAAAUGCGUAGAUAUCGUAAGGAAGACCAGUGGCGAAGGCGGGUCUCUGGACAGUUCCUGACGCUGAGGCACGAAGGUCAGGGGAGCGAACGGG
rnacentral:rRNA from 1 species